rnacentral:rRNA from 1 species
CCUACGGGGGGCUGCAGUGGGGAAUAUUGGACAAUGGGGGCAACCCUGAUCCAGCCAUGCCGCGUGUGUGAAGAAGGCCCUCGGGUUGUAAAGCACUUUCAGUGAGGAAGAACGCCUGGUGGUUAAUACCCAUCAGGAAAGACAUCACUCACAGAAGAAGCACCGGCUAACUCCGUGCCAGCAGCCGCGGUAAUACGGAGGGUGCGAGCGUUAAUCGGAAUUACUGGGCGUAAAGCGCGCGUAGGUGGCUUGAUAAGCCGGUUGUGAAAGCCCCGGGCUCAACCUGGGAACGGCAUCCGGAACUGUCAAGCUAGAGUGCAGGAGAGGAAGGUAGAAUUCCCGGUGUAGCGGUGACAUGCGUAGAGAUCGGGAGGAAUACCAGUGGCGAAGGCGGCCUUCUGGACUGACACUGACACUGAGGUGCGAAAGCGUGGGUAGCAAACAGGAUUAGAUACCCUAGUAGUC